UGACAAACUGACACUCACUGAUACAGAGUGUCCGACUCAGCUUGUCAAAUACACUAAGUGGGGGGCCUGGUCCGUGGCGCGGUCUCUGCAGGAGUGGACAGGGCGCCGGUUAGGACCCGAAACAGACGAAAGUGGAGGCAGAAGGCCGCGGCCCCUCAUCCUGGGUCUGCACCAGGAUUCAAGCACCUGACGAUGACGACAAAAACAGGAAGGCGCACGUUCCCCAGUGUCACGUUAUUCUCUAUAAGAAUUUAUAAUUUGCCUAAACCUGGUAGUUUAGUGACGAUGAAGUGUUGAACAAUCACUAGGAUGUAACCAGGGUUCCCUUUUUACAAGAAGAGGAAUCAAAUGAGAGAGUGUGGUCCUGACCAUUUCAACACCCUUUUCAGGCGGCUAAUGCUUCUCACACGGAGGAAGUGGAUGAUGACGAAACGUGACCCUCCUCUGGGGUUGAGAAAGUCUUUUCAUCAAGAAUUAACUGAAUUUCCUAUUGCAGUAGAAAAGUCAGCGCUGCCUUUUUUGGUAAAUAUACGACCACGUACACUC